GAUGCUUUGGUGCCUUCGGGAACUGUGAGACAGGUGCUGCAUGGCUGUCGUCAGCUCGUGUUGUGAAAUGUUGGGUUAAGUCCCGCAACGAGCGCAACCCUUAUCCUUUGUUGCCAGCGGUCGGCCGGGAACUCAAAGGAGACUGCCAGUGAUAAACUGGAGGAAGGUGGGGAUGACGUCAAGUCAUCAUGCCCUUACGACCAGGGCUACACACGUGCUACAAUGGCAUAUACAAAGAGAAGCGACCUCGCGAGAGCAAGCGGACCUCAUAAAGUAUGUCGUAGUCCGGAUUGGAGUCUGCAACUCGACUCC
rnacentral:rRNA from 1 species